rnacentral:rRNA from 1 species
GACGAACGCUGGCGGCGUGCUUAACACAUGCAAGUCGAACGGAAAGGCCCUGCUUUUGUGGGGUGCUCGAGUGGCGAACGGGUGAGUAACACGUGAGUAACCUGCCCUUGACUUUGGGAUAACUUCAGGAAACUGGGGCUAAUACCGGAUAGGAGCUCCUGCUGCAUGGGGGGGGUUGGAAAGUUUCGGCGGUUGGGGAUGGACUCGCGGCUUAUCAGCUUGUUGGUGGGGUAGUGGCUUACCAAGGCUUUGACGGGUAGCCGGCCUGAGAGGGUGACCGGCCACAUUGGGACUGCGAUACGGCCCAGACUCCUACGGGAGGCAGCAGUGGGGAAUAUUGCACAAUGGGCGGAAGCCUGAUGCAGCAACGCCGCGUGCGGGAUGACGGCCUUCGGGCUGUAAACCGCUUUCGCCUGUGACGAAGCGUGAGUGACGGUAAUGGGUAAAGAAGCACCGGCUAACUACGUG